rnacentral:lncRNA from 1 species
CCUCCUUAGAUCGACCGGAUCCGCCAUGGUAGAGCUCGCCGUGCUUCCUGUCUGUGCAGUUCGUCAGCAGAGGGUUGUGUAGGUGUGGUGAGCUAGAUGUGUUGAGCAGCAGUAGAUCCUCCCCUUCGUAGUGCAUCGUGUAGGUACAGCGGUUCCUCCGAUAGCGUGCGGUAGCAGGGAAGCAUGCCAGUGACCUUCCCUGUCGCCAUGCUCUCUGUCGAGCAGAGCAGAGCAGAGCAGGAGCUUUGAUAUGUAUGUGUGUGUGUGUUUCUCUGCCAGGCGCGGUUCGUGGUGGUGUGUAGGGUAGCAGGGACUCCUUCCCUUCGUGCAUCGUCGUUGUAGUGGUGGCUCCCCUCGUGGGCAGCAGUAGCAGUUGUUCUGCUCCGGCACCUUCUCUGUCGCCAGCGUGCAGAGCACAGGUAGAUGUGCUAGGGAUAGCUUAUCUGAAUAGAUCCCCCCUUUCUAGCAGUAACCGAUUCGUAGCCCAGUGGUAGUUUGUUCCGAUGCCUGUCAAGAGGGCGUGGGUUCGAGUCCCCCCCCUCGGCAUCCUUUUUUCCUUAUUUUGCCUCGGCACAGUAGCAAGGUACCUAGUUACCUUGGUUAACCACCAUACUCUAUCGAACCAGUGGUGUGGUGGUAGCGCGGUGCAGUGGCGUGACAGAGGCCCUGGGUUCGAUUCCCAGGCCUGUCACUUGCAUUUUUCCACUUCUCUCUCAUUUUAUUUCUUUUGCUUUGCCCUACUCCACUUGUGCCUAAUCUAUAGACAUCAAAGUGGUCUUUUUAUUUC